GGGUUUAAAGGGAGCGUAGGUGGACUUGUAAGUCAGUGGUGAAAUCUCUCAGCUUAACUGAGAAACUGCCAUUGAUACUGCAGGUCUUGAGUACAGAUGAUGUGGGCGGAAUAUGACAUGUAGUGGUGAAAUACUUAGAUAUGUCAUAGAACACCGAUUGCGAAGGCAGCUCACAAAACUGUAACUGACACUGAGGCUCGAAAGUGCGGGGAUCAAACAGGAUUAGAUACCCUGGUAGUCCGCACCGUAAACGAUGAUUACUCGUUGUUAGCGAUAUGACAGUUAGCGACCAAGCGAAAGCGAUAAGUAAUCCACCUGGGGAGUACGCCGGCAACGGUGAAACU
rnacentral:rRNA from 1 species